CCGGAUAGCUGGCGAAAAAGUAGAAUGAACUUAAUCUAUAAAGGCAAGGGAGCAAAGGAUAAUAUUCGCUCGUAUAGACCACUAACCAUUACAUCGGUACUAUACAGGUUGGCGAUGCAAGCAGUAAAGAUGAAAAUAGAAACAUGAGCAGAAAAUAACGGUAUUUUGGG
rnacentral:lncRNA from 1 species